rnacentral:rRNA from 1 species
GCUCCAAUAGCGUAUAUUAAGCUGUUGCAGUUAAAAAGCUCGUAGUCGGAUUCGAGGUUUCCUGGCGAGCGGUCCCCGGCUUCGCAGUCGGGAGUUUACUGCUGUGCGUAGGGCCUGAGAAAAGCCGGGUGCUUCCGGUGCUCUUGACCGAGUGCCGGCGGCGAUCGGCAAACGUUUACUUUGAAGAAAUUAGAGUGUUC